rnacentral:rRNA from 1 species
AAAUUGAAGAGUUUGAUCAUGGCUCAGAUUGAACGCUGGCGGCAGGCCUAACACAUGCAAGUCGAGCGGUAACACAGAGAGCUUGCUCUCGGGUGACGAGCGGCGGACGGGUGAGUAAUGUCUGGGAAACUGCCUGAUGGAGGGGGAUAACUACUGGAAACGGUAGCUAAUACCGCAUAACGUCGCAAGACCAAAGUGGGGGACCUUCGGGCCUCAUGCCAUCAGAUGUGCCCAGAUGGGAUUAGCUAGUAGGUGGGGUAAUGGCUCACCUAGGCGACGAUCCCUAGCUGGUCUGAGAGGAUGACCAGCCACACUGGAACUGAGACACGGUCCAGACUCCUACGGGAGGCAGCAGUGGGGAAUAUUGCACAAUGGGCGCAAGCCUGAUGCAGCCAUGCCGCGUGUAUGAAGAAGGCCUUCGGGUUGUAAAGUACUUUCAGCGAGGAGGAAGGCGUUAAGGUUAAUAACCUUGGCGAUUGACGUUACUCGCAGAAGAAGCACCGGCUAACUCCGUGCCAGCAGCCGCGGUAAUACGGAGGGUGCAAGCGUUAAUCGGAAUUACUGGGCGUAAAGCGCACGCAGGCGGUCUGUCAAGUCGGAUGUGAAAUCCCCGGGCUCAACCUGGGAACUGCAUUCGAAACUGGCAGGCUAGAGUCUUGUAGAGGGGGGUAGAAUUCCAGGUGUAGCGGUGAAAUGCGUAGAGAUCUGGAGGAAUACCGGUGGCGAAGGCGGCCCCCUGGACAAAGACUGACGCUCAGGUGCGAAAGCGUGGGGAGCAAACAGGAUUAGAUACCCUGGUAGUCCACGCCGUAAACGAUGUCGACUUGGAGGUUGUGCCCUUGAGGCGUGGCUUCCGGAGCUAACGCGUUAAGUCGACCGCCUGGGGAGUACGGCCGCAAGGUUAAAACUCAAAUGAAUUGACGGGGGCCCGCACAAGCGGUGGAGCAUGUGGUUUAAUUCGAUGCAACGCGAAGAACCUUACCUACUCUUGACAUCCAGAGAACUUAGCAGAGAUGCUUUGGUGCCUUCGGGAACUCUGAGACAGGUGCUGCAUGGCUGUCGUCAGCUCGUGUUGUGAAAUGUUGGGUUAAGUCCCGCAACGAGCGCAACCCUUAUCCUUUGUUGCCAGCGGUUAGGCCGGGAACUCAAAGGAGACUGCCAGUGAUAAACUGGAGGAAGGUGGGGAUGACGUCAAGUCAUCAUGGCCCUUACGAGUAGGGCUACACACGUGCUACAAUGGCAUAUACAAAGAGAAGCGACCUCGCGAGAGCAAGCGGACCUCAUAAAGUAUGUCGUAGUCCGGAUUGGAGUCUGCAACUCGACUCCAUGAAGUCGGAAUCGCUAGUAAUCGUAGAUCAGAAUGCUACGGUGAAUACGUUCCCGGGCCUUGUACACACCGCCCGUCACACCAUGGGAGUGGGUUGCAAAAGAAGUAAGUAGCUUAACCUUCGGGAGGGCGCUUACCACUUUGUGAUUCAUGACUGGGGUGAAGUCGUAACAAGGUAACCGUAGGGGAACCUGCGGUUGGAUCACCUCCUUA